rnacentral:rRNA from 1 species
GACGAACGCUGGCGGCGUGCCUAAUACAUGCAAGUCGAGCGCAGGAAAUCGACGGAACCCUUCGGGGGGAAGUCGACGGAAUGAGCGGCGGACGGGUGAGUAACACGUAAAGAACCUGUCCUCAGGUCUGGGAUAACCACGAGAAAUCGGGGCUAAUACCGGAUGGGUCAUCGGACCGCAUGGUCCGAGGAUGAAAGGCGCUUCGGCGUAGCCUGGGGAUGGCUUUGCGGUGCAUUAGCUAGUUGGUGGGGUAAUGGCCCACCAAGGCGACGAUGCAUAGCCGACCUGAGAGGGUGAUCGACCACACUGGGACUGAGACACGGCCCAGACUCCUACGGGAGGCAGCAGUAGGGAAUCUUCCACAAUGGACGAAAGUCUGAUGGAGCAACGCCGCGUGAACGAUGAAGGCCUUCGGGUCGUAAAGUUCUGUUGUAAGGGAAGAACAAGUGCCGCAGGCAAUGGCGGCACCUUGACGGUACCUUGCGAGAAAGCCACGGCUAACUACGUGCCAGCCGCCGCGGUAA